UGUAGCUUAAUGGUAAAGCACUUUCCUAGCAUGUAUAAGGCCUUGGGUUCAAUUCCCAAUA
rnacentral:tRNA from 1 species